AACAGUUCUACACCUGAGCUACAUAACAUACAAAUGGGUCUGAUUAGCAGAGUUCUUUCAAGACAUCAAGCUAAGAAUUUGUUUUCUUGAAUGCUGUUGGCACUUACCGUUGAUUCUUCUCUUCAAAGUCGUAAAGAAAUAGCUUCUUAUGCCCACCAGGUACAGCUGAAGCCUCUUAAAGCAUUUUAGAAGAGCCUGUUAUUUUUCUAUCAUUUUCCUAAAUGGCAUAUUAGCUUAUUAAAAUGAUUUUGAUCUCAGUAUUCCACAGAAGAUAAUAUGAACCAAAAGAAGCAUAUGUUCUGAUGAGACGUAUGCAAUUCAUUGAAUUAUAAGGCAGAAUCAAAUUAGUAUGGGUUAUUUAAGAAAUAUUUCCAUAUAGGUGUAUUAUUUGUCUCUGGCUGCCAAUGAUGAAUAGGAGGAGCAGAAAAUUGUUGUUUCACAGUUCUGAAGCAUAGAAGUCCAAAAUCAAGGUAUGAGCAGGGUUGGGGUCUCUCUGAAUCCUCUACAAACCUGAAUUUUUCCUUGCAUUAUUUUGUCCUUCUGGUGGUUUGCGGGUACUCCUUGGAAUUCUGUGGUCUAUACUUGUAGAACUUCAAUCUCUGUCUUCAUAGUCAAAUGGCAUGUUCUUUUUUUCUUAUAAGUCUAAUGGUCACCAACCUACCCACUCCCAUUUCCCUGUCCUGGCAUUCCCCUGCACUGGGGCAAAGGGGAUAACAUUCUAAAUGUAAAUAAUGAAAAUAUCUAAUAAAAACAAA
rnacentral:lncRNA from 1 species